AUGCCCUUCUGGAUUCCUUCCUUCCCUCUCCUUUCCCCCAUUUCCUGUGCCCUUUUCCCUCCUUUUCCCCCAUUUCCUGUUCCGUUUUCCCUCUCCUUUCCCAUAUUUCUUGUACAUUUCCUCUCUCUUUUCCCUCCCUUUCCCCCAUUUCCUAUUCCCCUUUUCCUUUCCCCAUCUCCUGUACCCUUUUCUUUCCUUUCCCCCAUUUCCUGCACCCUUUUCCCUCUCCUUUUCCUCCCCUUUCCCCCAUUCUCUCAUUACAUCCCCCAUUCCCUCACCCUCUUUUCCCCUUAUUCCCUUUUCCCUUUUCCCAUUUUUUCCCCAUUUUUCCCCUUUUUCCCUCCCCACCUUUUCCCUCUUUUCCAGGGGCGGGCGCCGGCGGAGCCGCAGUCCGGACCGGCGCCGCCGAUGAUGGAUCCAAACCUCCCCCCCUCCAUGUUCCACCUCCAAACUGGUGGCAAACUGGGAAAACUGGGCUCUGUACACAGCCUGGAGGAGCCAGAGCAGCUCCAUCCCCCGGGGAAUUGUGGGUUUUAUGGAAUUUUAUUGUUUUCAAAGGACAAGUAUGAGGGAAGCAGCAGUUUCGGAGGGUUGGGGGGGAUUUCCCUUGGGUUUGGGGGGAUCCCUCCCAGCUCCCCAUCCCAGAAUAUCCUGGGAGUUUUUUCCAUGCCCCAGGCAAAUGGUUCCUAACUCUCCCAUGGUAUUUAUCCCACUGGGCAUUCCUUGUUUUGUGUCAAAUAACAAGAUUUUGUCUAAGUUCGUCUUCUUGUUCUUUAUCCUUCAUUAAAGCUCCCAAGCCCCUUUCCCUAAAAUCCAUCUCCAUCCAAGCUGCUGGAUCCCCAAGGAUCCUGGGGAUCCCUCCCAGCCUGGCAGGAAAACAACUCAGGUCCUAAAAAACCUCUUUUUUUCCCUUAAAACUGACAUUGGGAUGUAACAGAUGUGCCCACCACCCCCCACUCUGAGCCACUGAGCUACACUGGGGCCUUUAAUGCCAGACCCUGGGGGGAA
rnacentral:lncRNA from 1 species